AACUUUCAGCAAUGGAUCUCUUGGCUCUCGCAUCGAUGAAAAACGCAGCGAAAUGCGAUAAGUAAUGUGAAUUGCAGAAUUCAGUGAAUCAUCGAAUCUUUGAACGCACCUUGCACCCUUUGGCAUUCCGAAGGGUAUGCUCGUUUGAGUGUCAUUGUACUCUCACACUCCCGAUGCUUUUGGAUUGGGAGUGGUGGACUUGGGUGUUGCUGCUUUACUGUGGCUCACCUCAAAUGGAGUAGUGCAACUCUUGGUUGGACAUAGUACGGCGUGAUAAGUGUCUUCGCCGGCGCCUCAUUAGAGGGUGGCCGAUCGGGAGCUCUGUGCUUCAAACCGUCUUCGGACAACAUCUGACAACUUGACCUCAAAUCGAGUAGGACUACCCGCUGAACUUAAGCAUAUCAAUAAGCGGAGGCU
rnacentral:misc_RNA from 1 species